rnacentral:rRNA from 1 species
GUCUAUGGCCAUGCCACUCUGAACGUGCCCAAUCUUGUCUGAUCUCAGAAGCUAAGCAGGGUCAGGCAUAGUUAGUACUUGGUUGGGAGACCACCUAGAAAUACCAGGUGCUGUAGACA